rnacentral:rRNA from 1 species
AGUGGGGGAUAACGUAGCGAAAGUUACGCUAAUACCGCAUAUGCCCUGAGGGGGAAAGGWGGGGAUCGUAAGACCUWUCGCUUUCGGAGUGGCCGAUAUCAGAUUAGCUAGUUGGUGAGGUAAAGGCUCACCAAGGCGACGAUCUGUAGCUGGUCUGAGAGGACGACCAGCCACACUGGGACUGAGACACGGCCCAGACUCCUACGGGAGGCAGCAGUGGGGAAUUUUGGACAAUGGGGGCAACCCUGAUCCAGCCAUGCCGCGUGAGUGAAGAAGGCCUUCGGGUUGUAAAGCUCUUUCAGCCGGAAAGAAAUCSYAUUMGCUAAUAYCKAGUGKGGAUGACGGUACCGGAAGAAGAAGCACCGGCUAACUACGUGCCAGCAGCCGCGGUAAUACGUAGGGUGCGAGCGUUAAUCGGAAUUACUGGGCGUAAAGCGUGCGCAGGCGGUUUKGUAAGACAGGUGUGAAAUCCCCGGGCUUAACCUGGGAACUGCAUUUGUGACUGCRAGRCUAGAGUGUGGCAGAGGGGGGUAGAAUUCCA